CCUACCUCGCAAAUUAAAAAAAAACCCUUAAAGCCCCGAAUGGUUCCGGUCCCCUAAAUAAGAUAUCGAAGGGCUGGUCAGUACUACUGAAACAAUUUCGCUAACUUUCAAAAACUGACUAUUGUCGAGCAUCCUGAAACGUAUCUCCGAAUCGCUAGUUAAGCUAUAAAUACACUUUAAAGUUACAAUUGGUACCGGUCCCCAAAUCACGAGUUAAGAAUCCGGUCGAGCAUCCUGGAACGUAUUCCAACAUCGCGAAAAAAAAAGAAAACAAAACGCUUUGAGCUGGUCCCUAAACCACGAGUUCCGGUCAGUACUACGGAAGCAAU